rnacentral:lncRNA from 1 species
AGAUACAAACAUGAAUUGGUACCGUCUUCUCCCGAUAACGAGAUGAUACGACCUCCGAAAGGACUCACUUAUCAACCUAUGCAACAGCUGAAAGCUACUUUGAGUCAAGUUGGAGUCAAGUAGCUAACACACUCAUAUCCACAAAGAAGAUGAAGGAAAAGAUUAUGGAUUCCAAAAGAAGGAAAUGGUGGUGGACUUGUGUGGAGGUUCAAU